UCCCCGAUGGUGUAACGGUAACAUAGCUGGUUUUCACCCAGCAGCCCCGGGUUCAACUCCCGGUCGAGGAA
rnacentral:tRNA from 1 species